ACGCGCCUCCAGUUUUCCAGAGCCCGGGUGGUGAAAUCGGUAGACACAAGGGAUUUAAAAUCCCUCGGCUUAUGGCUGUGCGG
rnacentral:tRNA from 1 species